UAUGAACAUAGCGACAUACUAGGAAAAGAAAAAGAAAAUUACAAAGACAAAAACAACUCUACAACACGUAAUAAGAUUUCAAGUUUCUAACUUUAAAAGAUGCUAAAAAUGAAACAAUCAACAACGUUUCAAGAAAACAACAGGCCAAUAUCAUAUCUUAUUUCAACCCGGCACCGGAGCUAAACAUUAUAUAUUGAUAUUUGAUUUGAUUUGAUGUACAUAAGUAACCAACUACAAAAUAACUUCAUGAUUGCAUCGAAAGAGUAUUUCAGAAUUCGUCUUCGCCUUUAUUGAAAAGAAAGAAAUAUAAAGGUUGGACAUUUCUUUCUUGUGAUGACGGGAUUGAAUCCCAAAUCCUUUAGCAAUGUUCUUGAAAAGCCAAUGGUACGUGUGGUUCAUCUCCUUGUUGCCAUUGACUCCAUUUUUACAGAUCUAAUAUCUUCAUCGUAAUCACAUGGGAUAGAACUCAACUUCAAAACUCGUUUACAAAGAAACAGUGCCCAACUUGCUCAUAAUCUUACAAGAUACGCCCUUCAAGAACGGGAUGAGAGUCUUUGAGUUCUUCAAAUCAGAUAAUAACAUUAUAUCUGUUUAUCAAAAGGUACGAACCCAAAGAAAUGAAGAUAGGAAGAAGAAAACUACACAUCCUCUUGUUGGCAAAAUUCAACUUUUGAUCAGAUCCUUCUUCUGCAAUAGUUUCGAGUUUUGGCGCAUUCGAAGGCUUACGAGGAAAUACGAGAGAGGAUGGAGCAACCUCCUCAAUCCAAUAGUGCAUGUAACCCAUUUGCUUUCCCAUGACUUGGAAUCAAUAAAAUCCUUUGAAGGGAAAAACGGCAGUAUUAUGUCGUGCAGAUGCAGGAGGAAGAUGAUGAGAAGGGAAUGGGAAUGAUUACAUUAACUGCAGUUUAUAUAAUAAAUUGGAGACGUAAAAGAAUGGGAAAAACUUUGGAUGAGGUUGAUUUUGAAGAAAUUAAUAAAAUGAUUUAAGAUUGUUUCUAGAGGAAGUUUAG
rnacentral:lncRNA from 1 species